CUACGGGCCGCUGCAGUGGGGAAUAUUGGACAAUGGGCGAAAGCCUGAUCCAGCAAUGCCGCGUGAGUGAUGAAGGCCUUAGGGUUGUAAAGCUCUUUUACCAGGGAUGAUAAUGACAGUACCUGGAGAAUAAGCUCCGGCUAACUCCGUGCCAGCAGCCGCGGUAAUACGGAGGGAGCUAGCGUUGUUCGGAAUUACUGGGCGUGAAGAGUACGUAGGCGGUUAUUCAAGUCAGAGGUGAAAGCCUGGAGCUCAACUCCAGAACUGCCUUUGAAACUAGAUAGCUAGAAUUAUGGAGAGGUUAGUGGAAUUCCGAGUGUAGAGGUGAAAUUCGUAGAUAUUCGGAAGAACACCAGUGGCGAAGGCGACUAACUGGACAUAUAUUGACGCUGAGGUACGAAAGCGUGGGGAGCAAACAGGAUUAGAUACCCCCGUAGUC
rnacentral:rRNA from 1 species